rnacentral:rRNA from 1 species
GACGAACGCUGGCGGCGUGCUUAACACAUGCAAGUCGAACGGAAAGGCCCCUUUGGGGGUCCUCGAGUGGCGAACGGGUGCGUAACACGUGAGUAACCUGCCCUUGACUUCGGGAUAACUUCAGGAAACUGGGGCUAAUACCGGAUAGGAAUCCUUGCUGCAUGGUGGGGGUUGGAAAGCUUCGGCGGUUUUGGCUGGACUCGCGGCUUAUCAGCUUGUUGGUGGGGUAGUGGCUUACCAAGGCUUUGACGGGUAGCCGGCCUGAGAGGGCGACCGGCCACAUUGGGACUGAGAUACGGCCCAGACUCCUACGGGAGGCAGCAGUGGGGAAUAUUGCACAAUGGGCGGAAGCCUGAUGCAGCAACGCCGCGUGCGGGAUGACGGCCUUCGGGUUGUAAACCGCUUUCAGCAGGGGCGAAGCUUGUGGUGACGGUACCUGCAGAAGAAGCACCGGCUAACUACGUG